rnacentral:rRNA from 1 species
UGGGUUUAGAACGUCGUGAGACAGUUCGGUCCCUAUCUGCCGUGGGCGCUGGAGAACUGAGGGGGGCUGCUCCUAGUACGAGAGGACCGGAGUGGACGCAUCACUGGUGUUCGGGUUGUCAUGCCAAUGGCACUGCCCGGUAGCUAAAUGCGGAAGAGAUAAGUGCUGAAAGCAUCUAAGCACGAAACUUGCCCCGAGAUGAGUUCUCCCUGACCCUUUAAGGGUCCUGAAGGAACGUUGAAGACGACGACGUUGAUAGGCCGGGUGUGUAAGCGCAGCGAUGCAUUGAGCUAACCGGUACUAAUGAACCGUGAGGCUUAACCUUACAACGCCGAAGCUGUU